rnacentral:rRNA from 1 species
CAGCCGCCGCGGUAAUACGGAGGGGGCUAGCGUUGUUCGGAAUUACUGGGCGUAAAGCGCGCGUAGGCGGUUACUCAAGUCAGAGGUGAAAGCCCGGGGCUCAACCCCGGAACUGCCUUUGAAACUAGGUGACUAGAAUCUUGGAGAGGUCAGUGGAAUUCCGAGUGUAGAGGUGAAAUUCGUAGAUAUUCGGAAGAACACCAGUGGCGAAGGCGACUGACUGGACAAGUAUUGACGCUGAGGUGCGAAAGCGUGGGGAGCAAACAGGAUUAGAGACCCCCGUAGUCCCUGUCUCUUAUAC